GCAGACUCACAAAGGCUGAUGCAGUGAAGACACUUUGAUAAAGAAACACAGGCUCACAGGUGGGUGGUGGAUAACCAGGCAGGUGACUUGAAAGCCAGGCAGGAGAGCAACGAGGAAGAAACAACAAAUCUUCUGACGAGGAGCAUUCUGGGAACAGAAGAAGACAAACUGACAAAGAGUGAAGAGAGCUGCAGCUGCGGCUGAAGCGUUUCCGCUUCCUGCAGCCGGAGAAGCUACGCGACCACAUCGACCUCUUCAGGGAGCUGCUGGUGACCUCCAGACAGAUCUAGAGCAGUCUGGCGAUGGGGCGACUUUGUGUGGCAUGUACUGAAAGAGGGUGCAACCCAGGUGAGCAACCACAGCUGUCAUUUCAGCACCAUGAAGAAUCUGCGAUGAUCCACCUCAACCGUGGACACCAGACCAUCUCCAAUCAAACCAUCCAAUCAGAAGUUUCCGUCAUGAAGACAUCCCCAUCCUCCAGUUCCACUCCUCAUCACCACCACCAGUGUCUACACUCCGGGGGAAGAUUCCUCUUAGUGGAAGCACCUUAAUCCUAUGGAUCUUGUCCAUGGUGCUCCACUUCCUGCCGGGGUCUAAGCACCAAAGUCUAUUCUUACUGUUCACAAUAAAUUUCAUUUUACUUAAA